rnacentral:rRNA from 1 species
UCACUUGACUUUUAAAUGGAGCCUAGUAUGAAAGAGAGAACGUAGACAAUUUGUCUUAAUAAUAGUAUUUUGAAAUUGCUGUAGGAGUGAAAAUACUCCUAAAAUUUAAAAAUAGACGAGAAGACCCUUAGAAUUUUAAACAUAUUGCAGAAGUACUACUGUAAUUAUUUUUUGUUGGGGCAACAAUAUUUCAAAACGAAUAAAUAUACAAAAAAGUCAAAAUAGGUCGAUUAUAUAAUUAUAGUAAAAUUACCUAAGGGAUAACAGCAUAAUUUAAUAAUUAAGUUUGUGACCUCGAUGUUGGACUAGGUAUUAUUAAGGCUAAUCGUUUUAAUACAAUUUGUUCUGUUCGAACUUUGCUACCUACAUGAUCUGAGUUCAAACCGGAGCUC